UACGUAUGGUGCAAGCGUUAUCCGGAUUUACUGGGUGUAAAGGGAGCGCAGGCGGCACGGCAAGCCUGAUGUGAAAGCCCGCGGCCCAACCGCGGGACUGCAUUGGGAACUACCGGGCUGGAGUGCCGGAGAGGUAGGCGGAAUUCCUAGUGUAGCGGUGAAAUGCGUAGAUAUCACGCAGAACCCCGAUUGCGAAGGCAGCAUGCCGGCUUCCUACUGACGCUGAAGCACGAAAGCGUGGGGAUCGAACAGG
rnacentral:rRNA from 1 species